GGUUCUGUAGUGUAGCAGUUAACACACCGGACUUUGAAUCCAGUUACGAGGGUUCGCAUCUCGCCGGAGCCU
rnacentral:tRNA from 1 species